rnacentral:antisense_RNA from 1 species
GUCAAUGGGCGGGCCGUGGCGGGGAGACCUUCGGGUCUGCCGGUAAUGGUUGUCAGUCCCGGUCCGCCAACCCUGUCAUCGUGCCCGCUCACCAUC